GUCUACGGCCAUGAGACCCCGAACACACCCGAUCUCGUCUGAUCUCGGAAUCUAAGCAGGGUCGGGCCUGGUUAGUACUUGGAUGGGAGAACCUGGGGUUUUGAAGCCU
ensembl:rRNA 5S_rRNA 5S ribosomal RNA